GUGAGACAGGUGCUGCAUGGCUGUCGUCAGCUCGUGUUGUGAAAUGUUGGGUUAAGUCCCGCAACGAGCGCAACCCUUAUCCUUUGUUGCCAGCGGUUAGGCCGGGAACUCAAAGGAGACUGCCAGUGAUAAACUGGAGGAAGGUGGGGAUGACGUCAAGUCAUCAUGGCCCUUACGACCAGGGCUACACACGUGCUACAAUGGCGCAUACAAAGAGAAGCGACCUCGCGAGAGCAAGCGGACCUCAUAAAGUGCGUCGUAGUCCGGAUUGGAGUCUGCAACUCGACUCCAUGAAGUCGGAAUCGCUAGUAAUCGUGGAUCAGAAUGCCACGGUGAAUACGUUCCCGGGCCUUGUACACACCGCCCGUCACACCAUGGGAGUGGGUUGCAAAAGAAGUAGGUAGCUUAACCUUCGGGAGGGCGCUUACCACUUUGUGAUUCAUGACUGGGGUGAAGUCGUAACAAGGUAACCGUAGGGGAACCUGCGGUUGGAUCACCUCCUUACCUUAAAGAA
rnacentral:rRNA from 4 species